UUUAUUUAUAGAAAAUUGAAGAAAUUUGAUAAUGGAGCAGGCUUUAUUUUUGGCACAAAUUGAUCUUAGGAAUACACACCAGAGGAUCAAAUAUUUUAAGCACAGAUUUUUCAAACGGAGUAAAGAAAAUACAUAUAAUCAUGCAAGAUACAUUUUUUUCUGAGAUUACAUAUCUGGGGGAGAACAUGGGGUCACACUCUAACAUGUGAAAUGUAUGGAGUCUUUAUGACACCCAGACAUGGGGUGCAGGCUUUACAUGAAGAGCUAUUCAGAGAGGAUCCGCUGGAAUCAAAUUGUCUUCCUUCUCUUUUGUCUGAAAACUAUCUUGAGUUGCUCUUCAUUCCUGAGCUCAUAAAGUGUUAUUUUAAUCCUAUGAGUGGUGGCAGCCCUAAUUUUAGAGUGCAGAGACUGAAGCUUAGAGAGGUUGACCAAGUCCCCAGAGCUUGCCCAGAUCCUAACUGGCAGAGCAGUAUUCUUCCCAGGCCUCUCCUGGCCUCCGGCCUUCAACGUCGUGACCUGCAGUGGUGAGGGUGGAUCCUGGCUCCGCGUCUGGCUCCUGCUGAUUCGGCACCCGCACACCUGGCUACACAGGUGAGCGAACCCACGGGCACCUACCUGGGCUGAGGUACAAGUAAAGUCCAGUCCCAGGGCGUCUCCUGCUGUCGUCCUCAAAGUUGUUGUUGAUGUGAAUACUUGUGAAAGCAUUUCUUCCUGACAUACUAGUCAGUUCAGGGAAAUGCUCCGAAUAAUCUGUUUUAAUUGACUUUCUUUUUAUUUUGAGACAGAGUCUCUCUGUGUCACCAGGCGCCAGGCUGGAGUUCAGUGGCGCAAUCUCGGCUCACUGUAACCUCUGCCUCCCUGGUUCAAGCAAUUCUCCUGCCUCAGCCUCCCGAGAAGCUGGGAUUACAGGCGUGAGCCACCGCCCCCGGCCUUUUAAUUGACUUUCAUAGGCCGCCUUCCCCACCCUUGGACUUCAAGGACUUCAGGCGGGUGCCGACGCCGAUCUAUCUAUUUCGAAGAUACAAAUAAACAGUCGUAAGUUUUGAAUCAUGACUUGGCCCCUGUUAUCAUUGUUUGUUUGUUUUGUUUUCCUCUAAAAUUUAUGUGUGUCGUUAGCAUUUUCUUCCCUUUGGAAAAGUUUGGGCCAAAAGUUUUCAAGGAAGGAACAUGCCCAGUCAGCCUCCUACUUAUUUGGAUUCCCC
rnacentral:lncRNA from 1 species